GUCGUCAGCUCGUGUCGUGAGAUGUUGGGUUAAGUCCCGCAACGAGCGCAACCCUUGCCUUUAGUUGCCAUCAUUAAGUUGGGCACUCUAGAGGGACUGCCAGUGACAAACCGGAGGAAGGUGGGGAUGACGUCAAAUCAUCAUGCCCCUUAUGUCCUGGGCUACACACGUGCUACAAUGGCCGGCACAGAGGGCCGCCAGGUCGCGAGACCGAGCGAAUCCCCCAAAGCCGGUCCCAGUUCGGAUCGCAGGCUGCAACCCGCCUGCGUGAAGCCGGAGUUGCUAGUAAUCGCGGAUCAGCACGCCGCGGUGAAUACGUUCCCGGGA
rnacentral:rRNA from 2 species